CAGUCGCCGCGGUAAUACGUAGGUGGCGAGCGUUGUCCGGAAUUAUUGGGCGUAAAGCGAGCGCAGGCGGUUAGAUAAGUCUGAAGUUAAAGGCUGUGGCUUAACCAUAGUACGCUUUGGAAACUGUUUAACUUGAGUGCAAGAGGGGAGAGUGGAAUUCCAUGUGUAGCGGUGAAAUGCGUUGAGAUCGGAAAGAACACCAACGGCGAAAGCACUCUGCUGGGCCGACACUGACACUGAGAGACGAAAGCUAGGGGAGCAAAUGGGAUUAGAUACCCCCGUAGUCCCUGUCUCUUAUACA
rnacentral:rRNA from 1 species